UACGGAGGGGGCUAGCGUUGUUCGGAAUUACUGGGCGUAAAGCGCACGUAGGCGGACUGGUAAGUCGGGGGUGAAAUCCCGGGGCUCAACCCCGGAAUUGCCUUCGAAACUGGCGGUCUUGAGGACGGGAGAGGUGAGUGGAAUUCCGAGUGUAGAGGUGAAAUUCGUAGAUAUUCGGAGGAACACCAGUGGCGAAGGCGGCUCACUGGCCCGAUACUGACGCUGAGGUGCGAAAGCGUGGGGAGCAAACAGG
rnacentral:rRNA from 1 species